GGCCCUACGGGACGCAGCAGUGGGGGAUAUUGCACAAUGGGGGAAACCCUGAUGCAGCGACGCCGCGUGAGUGAAGAAGUAUUUCGGUAUGUAAAGCUCUAUCAGCAGGGAAGAAAAUGACAGUACCUGACCAAGAAGCCCCGGCUAACUACGUGCCAGCAGCCGCGGUAAUACGUAGGGGGCAAGCGUUAUCCGGAUUUACUGGGUGUAAAGGGAGCGUAGGCGGCCUGGCAAGCCUGAUGUGAAAUACCGGGGCCCAACCCCGGGGCUGCAUUGGGAACUGCCAGGCUGGAGUGCCGGAGAGG
rnacentral:rRNA from 1 species